AUUGAACGCUGGCGGCAGGCCUAACACAUGCAAGUCGAACGAGUGGCGGACGGAUUAGUAAUGUCUGUGCAACUGCCUGAUGGAGGGGGAUAACUACUGGACACGGUAGCUGAUAACGCAUACCAUCGGAUGUGCCCAGAUGGGAUUAGCUAGUGGGUGGGGUAAAGGCUCACCUAGGCGACGAUCCGUAGCUGGUCUGAGAGGAUGCCCAGCCAACCUGGAACUGAGACACGGCCCAGACUCCUACGGGAGUCAGCAGUGGGGAAUAUUGCACAAUGGGCGCAAGCCUGAUGCAGCCAUGCCGCGUGUAUGAAGAAGGCCUUCGGGUUGGAAAGUACUGUAAGCGGGGAGGCGUUACCCGCAGAAGAAGCACCGGCUAACUCCGUGCCAGCAGCCGCGGUAAUAC
rnacentral:rRNA from 1 species